rnacentral:lncRNA from 1 species
GUAACUGACCUCGAAAUAUGGUAUAAAAGCCACUCUAUACUUCAAUUUCUCCAGAUCUGCUUGCUCCAGACAGAACCUUCUCAAAAAUGAAAUCUGUAAUUGCCAUUUUCCUUUUGGCUUUGGUAGCCACUGCUUUGGCAGGAUAUCUCGGCUACGGCGGUCCAUUUGGCUAUGGCUACGGUUACGCAUACCCAACCAGCACUGUUGUUUACAGUUCAAGCGCAUAUGGAUUCAGACCUUAUGGAUUCGGAUAUGGAUAUGGUCCAUAUGGUUAUGGAUAUGGAUUAGGAUACGGAGGUUACGGAUACGGUUUGGGCUACGGAAGAUUCGGCUACGGUUAUGGUUUGGGCUACGGAAGAUUCGGCUACGGUUAUGGUUUGGG